rfam:Rhizobium sp. Root708 contig_12, whole genome shotgun sequence.
GGCCCCUUAGCUCAGCUGGAUAGAGCACCUGCCUUCUAAGCAGGUUGUCGCAGGUUCGAUUCCUGCAGGGGUCG